rnacentral:lncRNA from 1 species
GGCCCGCGAGAUCCGCCGCUUCAGCUUCUGCUUCAGCCCGGAGCCGGAGGCGGAAGCCGCGGCUGGCCCGGGGCCCUGCGAGAGGCUGCUGAGCCGGGUGGCUGUGCUGUUCCCCGCGCUGCGGCCUGGAGGCUUUCAGGCGCACUACCGCGAUGAGGAUGGGGACUUGGUCGCCUUCUCCAGUGAUGAGGAACUGACAAUGGCCAUGUCCUAUGUGAAAGAUGACAUCUUCCGCAUCUACAUUAAAGAGAAGAAGGAGUGCCGGCGGGAACAUCGCCCCCCAUGUGCUCAGGAGGCACGAAGCAUGGUGCACCCCAACGUGAUUUGUGAUGGUUGCAAUGGGCCUGUGGUGGGAACUCGCUAUAAGUGCAGUGUGUGCCCCGACUACGACCUGUGCAGCGUCUGCGAGGGGAAGGGCCUGCACAGGGAGCACAGCAAGCUCAUCUUUCCCAACCCCUUUGGCCACCUCUCUGAUAGCUUCUCUCAUAGCCGCUGGCUUCGGAAGCUGAAACAUGGGCACUUUGGCUGGCCUGGCUGGGAGAUGGGCCCACCAGGGCAUCGAGGUUGACAUUGAUGUGGAACAUGGAGGGAAGAGAAGCCGCCUGACACCCACCUCUGCAGAAAGUUCCAGCACAGGCACAGAAGAUAAGAGUGGUACUCAGCCAAGCAGCUGCUCUUCGGAAGUCAGCAAACCUGACGGGGCCGGGGAGGGCCCUGCUCAGUCUCUGACAGAGCAGAUGAAGAAGAUAGCCUUGGAGUCGGUGGGACAGCCAGAGGAACUGAUGGAGUCGGAUAACUGCUCAGGAGGGGAUGACGACUGGACGCAUUUGUCUUCUAAAGAAGUGGACCCAUCCACAGGUGAACUCCAGUCUCUACAGAUGCCAGAAUCGGAAGGGCCAAGCUCUCUAGACCCCUCACAGGAAGGCCCCACAGGGCUGAAGGAAGCUGCCCUGUACCCACAUCUCCCACCAGAGGCUGAUCCCCGGCUGAUUGAGUCACUCUCUCAGAUGCUGUCCAUGGGUUUCUCGGAUGAAGGCGGCUGGCUCACCAGGCUCCUACAGACCAAGAAUUAUGACAUCGGGGCUGCUCUGGACACGAUCCAGUAUUCAAAGCACCCUCCACCAUUG